CGGGCACUGUUCGGGCUUGACCGACAGACUUUAUGGUGCAAACCCUGCAGUCUUUGAAUUUGGAAUAUUAUGAUGGAGAAAAAAAAAGUGCGUUCGCUACAUACAAGGUGAAGGCAGCUGCCUCAGCCCACCCUCUUCAGAUGGAAGCUUACUAGACUCACCUCCCCCCUCACCGCAUCUGCUAGGCUCCCCUCCCCAAGACGCCAAGUCACAGACUGAGCAGACACAGCCGCUCUCGCUGUCCCUGAAGCCUGAUCCUCUGGCCCACCUGUCCAUGAUGCCUCCACCACCCGCGCUCCUGCUGGCUGAAGCUGCCCACGGCAAGGCCUCUGCCCUCUGUCCCAACGGGGCCCUGGACCUGCCACCUGCCACUUUGCAGCCGUCCAUGGUCCCUUCCUCAUCGCUCGCACAACCAUCAACUU
rnacentral:lncRNA from 1 species